UUUAGGGUUCUAAGAAUAGAUGAUGGUGAUUGAAAAUAAAAUUGAUAGUUAGGGUUUGAAGUGAUGAUUCAGAAGUUCAAUCGAGGCAAAACAGGAAAUCAAAAUCAACUGCUUCAAUCUAACAGUUUGGAUAAAGGUAUAAUUCUUUUAUCCCUAAUACAUAUAUGAAUUUGGUCUAAUUGCAGUCGAUUUUAAAUGGCUUCGUUGGGAUUGCAGAUUUCAAUUGAACUACUGUCUAGAUUUGUCAGUGAGUCACUCAUGUGUGGACAAAUAUGAAUUUUUUGCUCUGUGUAUUCCAAAUAUGGACAAAUAUGGACAAAAGGGGGGAUGAAUGAGGAGACUGAUGGAAGAUCUAAGAAGACGUGAUGUUGAUCUAACUUUUCGUUUCCAACUUUUUAAUUAGGGCAAGGUGAAGGUUCUGUCAAGGAGACGAACCUC